CCGUGCCAUCGUAUUACUAAAUAGGUGACAAAUUUGACUCUUGAUAGGCCUUCCGCGCACUUUGCCAAACCCCAACUACUACUCUUCUCCAUGUCACACUCCUACCUUCCAACUUGACUCCAUACACUGCUAUGCCCACACCUAAGAAGACCACUCCUAAAGCUACUAAUGUAUUCGGCUUCACCUUCUUCAAGACCUUCCGUAGAGCUGGCCGCGCCGGGCUGUACGACCUCCAUAUCCACAUACUUCAAAGCUUUUUCGGGGGUCCAUUCUUUCUCUGACCAUUCUUGAUCAUAAGUGACCAUUACGCUUCCUGGACCCAUAAUUUCUCUCCCCCGUAUCAGAGGUCCAUCCCAAGGAUAUUCUUCCAAUAAUCUGUCUGCGAGCUGGAGGACGUCUGAGAGCCGUAUAGGGGAGUAUGGGUUUACAUUGGAGUCAUGCAACUCAAGCUUGCUUGGAGAGGUGGAGGGAGAGGUUUGUGGAUUGGGUGAGGACGGCGUGUCUGGGUAUAGUGGCGGGAGACGGACAAAUAAGGGAUGCAGGAGUGAAGGGUCUUCUUGAUAUUCGCGUCCGAGUUUCUUGGCCAAUUCGAACAUCUGUGGUUUCUUGCUUAUCAAAAUCUGUUAUAAAUCAGUUCAUGAAGCACAUGGUAG
rnacentral:sRNA from 1 species